rnacentral:rRNA from 1 species
GAUGAACGCUGGCGGCGUGCCUAAUACAUGCAAGUCGAGCGAACGGACGAGAAGCUUGCUUCUCUGAUGUUAGCGGCGGACGGGUGAGUAACACGUGGAUAACCUACCUAUAAGACUGGGAUAACUUCGGGAAACCGGAUCUAAUACCGGAUAAUAUUUUGAACCGCAUGGUUCAAAAGUGAAAGACGGUCUUGCUGUCACUUAUAGCUGGAUCCGCGCUGCAUUAGCUAGUUGGUAAGGUAACGGCUUACCAAGGCAACGAUGCAUAGCCGACCUGAGAGGGUGAUCGGCCACACUGGAACUGAGACACGGUCCAGACUCCUACGGGAGGCAGCAGUAGGGAAUCUUCCGCAAUGGGCGAAAGCCUGACGGAGCAACGCCGCGUGAGUGAUGAAGGUCUUCGGAUCGUAAAACUCUGUUAUUAGGGAAGAACAUAUGUGUAAGUAACUGUGCACAUCUUGACGGUACCUAAUCAGAAAGCAACGGCUAACUACGUG